rnacentral:rRNA from 1 species
GAUGAACGCUGGCGGCGUGCCUAAUACAUGCAAGUCGAGCGAACAGACGAGGAGCUUGCUCCUCUGACGUUAGCGGCGGACGGGUGAUGAACACGUGGAUAACCUGCCUAUAAGACUAGGAUAACUUCGGGAAACCGGAUCUAAUACCGGAUAAUAUAUUGAACGUCAUGGUUCAAUAGUGAAAGACGUAUUUGCUGUCACUUAUAGAUGGAUCCUGGCCGCAUUAGCUAGUUGGUAGGGUAAAGGCUUACCAAGGCGACGAUGCGUAGCUGACCUGAGAGGAUGAUCAGUCACACUGGAACUGAGACACGGUCCAGACUCCUACGGGAGGCAGCAGUGGGGAAUAUUGCACAAUGGGCGAAAGCCUGAUCCAGCAAUGCCGCGUGUGUGAAGAAGGUCUUCGGAUUGUAAAGCUCUUUAAGUUGGGAGGAAGAAAAGUAAGUUAAUACCUUGCUGUUUUGACGUUACCAACAGAAAAAGCCCCGGCUAACUUCGUG